UACGUAGGGGGCAAGCGUUGUCCGGAAUCAUUGGGCGUAAAGAGCGUGUAGGCGGCCCGAUAAGUCCGCUGUGAAAGUCCAGGGCUCAACCCUGGGAUGCGGGUGGAUACUGCCGAGCUCGAGUCCGGAAGAGGCGAGUGGAAUUCCUGGUGUAGCGGUGAAAUGCGCAGAUAUCAGGAGGAACACCAAUGGCGAAGGCAGCUCGCUGGGACGUGACUGACGCUGAGACGCGAAAGCGUGGGGAGCAAACAGG
rnacentral:rRNA from 1 species